UACGUAGGGUGCAAGCGUUAAUCGGAAUUACUGGGCGUAAAGCGUGCGCAGGCGGUUUUGUAAGUUUGUCGUGAAAGCCCCGGGCUCAACCUGGGAAUGGCGAUGAAGACUGCAAGGCUUGAAUCUGGCAGAGGGGGGUAGAAUUCCACGUGUAGCAGUGAAAUGCGUGGAGAUGUGGAGGAACACCGAUGGCGAAGGCAGCCCCCUGGGUCAAGAUUGACGCUCAUGCACGAAAGCGUGGGGAGCAAACAGG
rnacentral:rRNA from 1 species